rnacentral:rRNA from 1 species
AAAUUGAAGAGUUUGAUCAUGGCUCAGAUUGAACGCUGGCGGCAGGCCUAACACAUGCAAGUCGAACGGUAACAGGAAGCAGCUUGCUGCUUCGCUGACGAGUGGCGGACGGGUGAGUAAUGUCUGGGAAACUGCCUGAUGGAGGGGGAUAACUACUGGAAACGGUAGCUAAUACCGCAUAAUGUCGCAAGACCAAAGAGGGGGACCUUCGGGCCUCUUGCCAUCGGAUGUGCCCAGAUGGGAUUAGCUUGUUGGUGGGGUAACGGCUCACCAAGGCGACGAUCCCUAGCUGGUCUGAGAGGAUGACCAGCCACACUGGAACUGAGACACGGUCCAGACUCCUACGGGAGGCAGCAGUGGGGAAUAUUGCACAAUGGGCGCAAGCCUGAUGCAGCCAUGCCGCGUGUAUGAAGAAGGCCUU